rnacentral:rRNA from 1 species
AUGAAAGCUUGUGUCAUAAUGCACAAUAUGAUAGUUGAAGAGGAGCGACAAACUGGUCGGCAAAGCUGCACUUUUGAGGCAAUGGGAGAAAGAGUCACAGUCUCUCGUACUCAUGCGGAAGAACUGAGCUCUUUUAUUCAGAUGACUCAUCGGAUUAGAAAUUUCGAUGAACAUGAUCAGCUUAAACUUGAUCUAAUUGACCAUGUGUGGCAAAAGUUUGGAAACGAGUAA